rnacentral:rRNA from 1 species
UACGUAGGGCGCAAGCGUUGUCCGGAAUUAUUGGGCGUAAAGAGCUCGUAGGUGGCUUGUUGCGUCUGCCGUGAAAGCCCGUGGCUUAACUACGGGUCUGCGGUGGAUACGGGCAGGCUCGAGCACAGUAGAGGCAGGUGGAAUUCCCGGUGUAGCGGUGGAAUGCGUAGAGAUCGGGAAGAACGAUCAGUGGCGAAGGCGGCCUGCUGGGCUGUUGCUGACGCUGAGGCGCGACAGCGUGGGGAGCAAACGAG